rnacentral:rRNA from 1 species
GGGAGUACGGCCGCAAGGUUAAAACUCAAAUGAAUUGACGGGGGCCCGCACAAGCGGUGGAGCAUGUGGUUUAAUUCGAUGCAACGCGAAGAACCUUACCUGGUCUUGACAUCCACAGAACUUUCCAGAGAUGGAUUGGUGCCUUCGGGAACUGUGAGACAGGUGCUGCAUGGCUGUCGUCAGCUCGUGUUGUGAAAUGUUGGGUUAAGUCCCGCAACGAGCGCAACCCUUAUCCUUUGUUGCCAGCGGUUCGGCCGGGAACUCAAAGGAGACUGCCAGUGAUAAACUGGAGGAAGGUGGGGAUGACGUCAAGUCAUCAUGGCCCUUACGACCAGGGCUACACACGUGCUACAAUGGCAUAUACAAAGAGAAGCGACCUCGCGAGAGCAAGCGGACCUCAUAAAGUAUGUCGUAGUCCGGAUUGGAGUCUGCAACUCGACUCCAUGAAGUCGGAAUCGCUAGUAAUCGUAGAUCAGAAUGCUACGGUGAAUAC